AAAAACCUAAACCUAAAAAUAAAGGAAUACUGUGCAAACGACGGAACCCUAGAGUUACUGUUCGGUGUGCAAGGGUUGAUAAUGUUGCUGCCACUGGUUUUCCUCUCGGAAUGUCAUUCGCCGCUGUUAUGGCUCAGGUGUCUGGAAUCACCUUUGGCUCUAGCUAAUGUGAAGCCCGGACACACUAAAACAAUCAAUUCUAGUGUUGUAUAAAAGAGAUGUUGCAGCUGAUAGUAUGUCUCCCAGUCAUCUUUCGUUGAGGGCUCCUGCUUUUAUAUCAGAAUUGCUUCAGAUUAUACCAAAUGCACAUUACUUCAAGAGAGGAACCUAUGAUUUAAAAAAGAUUGUAGAAUAUGCAAAUAAUAAGGACUUCACAUCUACUGUAGUUGUACACACCAAUCACAGGGAACCAAGUAAGUGGUGCUUUUGAGUAAAGAAGAUCCCACGCAUCUAGAUCUUAUAUUUUAAAUAUUGUUUCAUUGCUUCACCAAAAAGUGGUGCUUUUCUUUAUGAGUAAGUGGUGCUUUUCAUUAUACUUUCCCUACUACUUUUCAUUGCUUUUCUUGUGUGGCUGAAUGGAUGUCAUAUUAGUGGCUGAAUGGAUGUCACAUUGAAUGGUACUGAGUUGAAAAGUGAAAACUAUCUUAAAUGAAGUCUAGUAUUUACUCCAAGUGGGCCAUGAAUUAUGGCACAUAUUUUUUACUACAGGGUGUUAGAAACUCUCAACACAAUCUAUGUAUUUUGAGCUUGACUAAUGUUAUUGAUAUGGCAUUGUUGGAAAUUGGAAAUCUAAGACCGACUAAUCUUUACAUAUUAUUAAAAAAAGUGAAACAAUCAAACAUAAGUGAAUUCAUAUUAAAACCUUAUGUUAUAAUAAGUUAUCUUUGAAUAUUUGAAAAGGAGAUUGGAAGUGUAAUAACCAUAGAUCUUGAUAAUUUUGCUUGAAUUUAUUUAAAAACUAGUGAAUCUGUUCUGUCUAAUCAAUCUUUUCUAUUUCAAAAUCAGAGGCACAUCUAUAGUUUAUAAAAGAUAAAUAUCUCUCAGGUUGAAAUGUGUAAAAGGUAUUAGAGGAAACAUCACUAAGAAUACCUGCCAUUCACAUGCCACAUAAAUUUACAAACACUUGCAGUUUGUGGUAAUUUCUUUCCCCCAAAAUAAAUUAGACCAAAAUAAACCCAAACCCAUAUAAAUCGUGAACCAAAACAACAGCAAAACUUUUUAGAUCUAAACCCAAACCCAUAUAAAUCUUUGGCCUUUGAGUUAAAUGAAAUUAUUAAUAAAAUUGUAUAGCAAAACUUUUUAAUCUUACUAGAUUUAAUUAUUCUUCUACCUGAUUCCUUUGUAUGUUUGUUGUUACCAUCUUGAAAAUUUCCUCUGAAAUAACUUACCGAUAAAAUUGCAGGAAUGUGGUCCUCGUUUCACAUUGAAAUUAGUUAGCCUGCCGCAUGGAACAUUUGACACUAAAGGUGGAGAAUAUCAGUGGGUUCACAAGGUAUUAGGGACUAUAUUAUCUCCAAGUCCAUGUGCGUAUGUGGUGCAACAAAUAUUCUCGCAAACGAUCUUUAUUAUGUUCAUACUUUAGUUGGAAGAAAUCAAAGAGGUUUUGAGUCAAUUUUAUAUUCAGCAACUAUUCAUGUAGGAUUUGUUGCCAAUAUUUGAAGUAUAAUAUUGUUGAUGUUACUGAUUUAGUUUGUUUGACAUUAGUUACAUGUGAAACUUUCUGUAUAUAUAUUAUACUUUACAUGAUUUAGUUUGUUUGACAGGAACUAUAAUGAUGUAUAUAUUUAAUUUUGGAUAUUAUAAUGGUAUUAUAUUAGUAUAUAUAUAUAUUGUCCUACCUAUGGUUGAAAAUAUAUCGUCGAAAAUAUAUUACAGGUCGAAAAUAUUACAGGUUGAAAAUAUAUUACAGGUCGAAAAUAUUACAGGUCGAACUGGGAGGCUUAAAUUAUAGGCUGCACUUUAAAAUACCUCAUUUAGCAACAACAGCGCUUUUAAAAAGCGCUCUUAAAGGGCCACCUACUAAAGCGCUUUAUUACAAAAAGCGCUGCCAAAGAUUAAAAAAAACAUAAAAAAAACGCAACC